rnacentral:rRNA from 1 species
CAAUAGCGUAUAUUAAAGUUGUUGCAGUUAAAAAGCUCGUAGUUGGAUUUCUGGUCGGAAGCUCCUGUCCUCUGAUGAGCGUACAAGUGCGUCCUACCAUCCUUCUGUUAACCUUUAAGGCUUUCGCGGCUUUCUAGGGGCUCAGAUAUUUUACCUUGAGAAAAUUAGAGUGUUUCAGGCAGGCUAGCGCCGGAAUACAUUAGCAUGGAAUAAUGGAAUAGGACUUUUGCCUCUUCUGUUGGUCAUGAGGCUCGAGUAAUGAUUAAUAGGGAUAGUUGGGGGCAUUAGUACUUAACCGUCAGAGGUGAAAUUCUCGGAUUUGUUAAAGACUAACUUAUGCGAAAGCAUUUGCCAAGGAUGUUUUCAUUAA